rnacentral:rRNA from 1 species
GUGGAUUAGAUACCCUGGUAGUCCUGGCAGUAAACGGUGCACGCUUGGUGUGAGGGGAAUCGACCCCCCUUGUGCCGGAGCAAACGCGUUAAGCGUGCCGCCUGGGAAGUACGGUCGCAAGACUAAAACUCAAAGAAAUUGACGGGGACCCGCACAAGCGGUGGAGUAUGUGGCUUAAUUCGAUGCAACGCGAAGAACCUUACCAAGGCUUGACAUGGAUUUCUAAGCACGUGAAAGCGUGUGACCCUUCGGGGGACUUCCACAGGUGCUGCACGGCCGUCGCCAACU